GGACCCACUUUAACUUCAUCUUCCUCCCUAACCCAUACCACCUCUACUUCGGUCCAUCUUCAACACCAAGUGCCACCAAUCCACUCUGGAAUAAGAACCAUUAUUAAGCUCCGAUCGUUUAUAUAUGAACUCCGACAAAGAAAUAAAACCUACCACCACCGAUUCCUCAACCGACAAAUUUGUCUCACCUCAUCGUCGGUCACACAUGUGAAAUCAUUAUGGUCGCACCAAACUCUCUAUCUCUUUCGUUCUCUCUCUCGAACUAUAAAGUUACGCAAUUCUUGUGUUGAUGAAAGAAGCUUGCUGAUACUUAUAGAAUUCUAGGAAGAUGUUACAAAACUUUUUCUUGCAAUUUCGUUCUCUCUGUUUUGUUUUGACCGAGUUGGGUUUUGGUUGUCGAUGUCAUGCGUUGCCUCGCCGUCGACUCUGGUUCUAUUCGUGAUUUACUACUGUAAUGAAUCAUUACAUCAUAAGAAGAUUUGUUGAAGGGUUAUUGCGAUUUGAUCCUAGAAAAUUUGGAUAUGAAACAUAAAUAACUGGAUCUGAGUGUGGCUCUGUAUCUAUUUUUUCCCAAAUUUUCAGCAUCUUUAAAAUUGAAAGAUAUCAAAUUAUCUAGUUCCAAUAAAGAUGAAGUUCCUUCGAACCAUCCAAUUUAAUCUAAUUUCAUUUUGGACAAGACCUGUGAAGCAUAGAAGAUGGGAGGGGGUUUGUUUUUCGGAUUUGUAAUAUUGUAUUUUAUGUAGUGGCUGGAAUCUUAUCACCGGCGAGUUGGGGAAGAU
rnacentral:lncRNA from 1 species